UUGGCAGCCCUGGAAUCUGAAAUCCUUUAUUUAUCCACCUAACAAGAAUAGCACAGACAGCAGCAGUUGGUUUUCCCCAACACUGUCUCCCAUGAGCCUAACCUAGGCCUGACCUUUUGGGACGUGCAGGAGCAUGGCUUUGGCCACUAGAAUACUUCCAUGGGGACCCACA
rnacentral:sRNA from 1 species